rnacentral:rRNA from 1 species
GAUGAACGCUAGCGGCAGGCUUAACACAUGCAAGUCGAGGGGCAGCAUGAGACAGAGAUUCGUCGAAGUCUUGAUGGCGACCGGCGCAAGGGUGCGUAACGCGUGAGCAACUUGCCCGUUUCAGGGGGAUAACCGUUGGAAACGACGACUAAUACCCCAUGGCAUCAUAAGGAGGCAUCUCCAUAUGAUUAAAGAAUUUCGGAAACGGAUAGGCUCGCGUGACAUUAGAUAGAUGGCGGGGUAACGGCCCACCAUGUCUACGAUGUCUAGGGGUUCUGAGAGGAAGGUCCCCCANACUGGUACUGAGACACGGACCAGACUCCUACGGGAGGCAGCAGUGAGGAAU